rnacentral:lncRNA from 1 species
GUUGGGAGUUCAGUCGGCUUAAAAGGAGAGGGAGGGGCUUUGAGGGGCUUGGGGGGGGGGCAUCCUUUCUGUUUAGAUUUCUUAAGGGCUGUGUGUGUGUGUGCGUGUGUACAUGCAUGCAAAAUAUUUCAAGUCCCUCCAGCUAGGUUCUCUCUGCCCCUCCCAUCCCACACGGCGAGACUUUUCUGCUUUUCAUUCAGCAGAGACCAAUCUGUUGCCUGCAAAUCACACCAACAUUGAAGCUUCUUUAAAAAGGAAAACGAAAAACGAAGAAGAAAAAGAAACUGUCUCAGGAAUUACCGAAACAACUUCAGAGACAUGAAGAAAUUUGCAAUUUGCCAGUGACUGCAUAAAAGAAAAUGAAGUCCCAUUAAUAGGAUCUGUCGAAAAACAACUUGCGUCAAUCGAUCGAUGAGAUGCAAGCAACUCCUAACCUUCCCUCUUAUUUCAAGAGGAUAUUGUCUGUCUCAGAAUGUCUGUGUUUGUGUAUGUAUAUAAGAGAGCACAAGUUCUCAAGUUCUUUUGAGACAGCUUCUCCUACUACUAUCAGAAAUACAUAAAGGACUUCUGAAACUACUACUGAAUUUCUUUUCCUU